GUCGGUCAGUUGGUUAUGAA
rnacentral:miRNA from 1 species